rnacentral:rRNA from 1 species
UACGUAGGGUGCAAGCGUUAAUCGGCAUUACUGGGCGUAAAGCGUGCGCAGGCGGUUUUGUAAGUCAGAUGUGAAAUCCCCGGGCUUAACCUGGGAACUGCGUUUGAAACUACAAGGCUAGAGUGUGGCAGAGGGGGGUGGAAUUCCACGUGUAGCAGUGAAAUGCGUAGAGAUGUGGAGGAACACCGAUGGCGAAGGCAGCCCCCUGGGUUAACACUGACGCUCAGGCACGAAAGCGUGGGGAGCAAACAGG